rnacentral:rRNA from 1 species
AAGUCGUAACAAGGUUUCCGUAGGUGAACCUGCGGAAGGAUCAUUAUCGAAUAAACUUGAACAGGCUGUUGCUGGCCCCCCCCCGGGGUAUGUGCACGCUUGUCAUCUUUAUCAUUUCUCCAACUGUGCACAUACUGUAGACCUGGGAGCUUUGGAUCAUUGUUUCGAGUUGGGACUGCUGUGCUAUAGAUAUCAAAAGUCAGCUUUGCCUUGCAUUUCCAGGUCUAUGUCAUUUUUCACAACCUCUUUGUUUGGAAUGUCGAAUCAGGUCUUUUGUACCUAUAAAAAGUUAUAAUACAACUUUCAGCAACGGAUCUCUUGGCUCUCGCAUCGAUGAAGAACGCAGCGAAAUGCGAUAAGUAAUGUGAAUUGCAGAAUUCAGUGAAUCAUCGAAUCUUUGAACGCAUCUUGCGCUCCUUGGUAUUCCGAGGAGCAUGCCUGUUUGAGUGUCAUUUAACUUAUCUCAACCGCAUCAAUCAUUUUUGAGAUGUGGCUUGGAUGUGGGGGGUCAUUUUUUGUGGGCUUUGAACAGAAGUCUGCUCCCCUGAAAUGUAUUAGUGGUAUUUGAGCUGCUAUAGGUGUGAUAAUUUAUCUAUGCCUUUGGUGUAUGCUGCAUGUGCUGCUUCUAACGCACUCUUUUUUGAUUUGACCUCAAAUCAGGUAGGACUACCCGCUGAACUUAAGCAUAUCAAUAAGCGGAGGAAAAGAAACUAACAAGGAUUCCCCUAGUAACUGCGAGUGAAGCGGGAAAAGCUCAAAUUUGAAAUCUGGCAGCUCUUUGAACUGUCCGAGUUGUAAUCUAGAGAAGUGUUACCUGUGCUGGACCAUGUACAAGUCUCCUGGAAUGGAGCAUCACAGAGGGUGAGAAUCCCGUCUUUGACAUGGACUGCCUGUACAUUAUGGUGCGCUCUCAAAGAGUCGAGUUGUUUGGGAAUGCAGCUCAAAAUGGGUGGUAAAUGCCAUCUAAAGCUAAAUAUUGGCGAGAGACCGAUAGCGAACAAGUACCGUGAGGGAAAGAUGAAAAGAACUUUGGAAAGAGAGUUAAACAGUACGUGAAAUUGCUGAAAGGGAAACGCUUGAAGUCAGUCGCGUUGGCUAGAAAUCAGCCUUGCUUUUGCUUGGUGUACUUUCUGGUUGAUGGGUCAGCAUCAAUUUUGAUCAUCGGACAAAGUCAUUGGGAAUGUGGCAUCUUAGGAUGUGUUAUAGCCCGGUGUCGCAUACGGUGGUUGGGAUUGAGGAACUCAGCACGCCUGCAAAGGCCGGGUUUCGACCACGUUCGUGCUUAGGAUGCUGGCAUAAUGGCUUUAAUCGACC